AGUGAACGCUGGCGGCAGGCCUAACACAUGCAAGUCGAGCGGCAGCGGGUCCUUCGGGAUGCCGGCGAGCGGCGGACGGGUGAGGAAUGCAUCGGAAUCUGCCCUGUCGUGGGGGAUAACCUAGGGAAACUUAGGCUAAUACCGCAUACGACCCACGGGUGAAAGCGGGGGAGCGCAAGACCUCGCGCGAUAGGAUGAGCCGAUGUCCGAUUAGCUAGUUGGCGGGGUAAAGGCCCACCAAGGCGACGAUCGGUAGCUGGUCUGAGAGGAUGAUCAGCCACACUGGGACUGAGACACGGCCCAGACUCCUACGGGAGGCAGCAGUGGGGAAUAUUGGACAAUGGGCGCAAGCCUGAUCCAGCCAUGCCGCGUGGGUGAAGAAGGCCUUCGGGUUGUAAAGCCCUUUUGUCCGGGAAGAAAUCGUCUGGGCUGAUACCCCGGGCGGAUGACGGUACCGGAAGAAUAAGCACCGGCUAACUUCGUG
rnacentral:rRNA from 1 species